GGCCGCCUGGCGAAAUGGCAUCGCGUCUGACUACGAUGAUGGAUAAAGUCGUAAAUUAUUUAAUCAGGAGAAUGCAGGUUCGACCCCUGCGGUGGUCA